UUUUUAGCCCAUGGCUUUGGCAGGAAAUCCGCGUCCCUUCAUUUUGCCACUGGCCAAGUGCAAUGCCUUUGUGUGGAUGGAAAGAUAACGGUUUUGUCGUCAGUUCUCUCCUUCUCGACAAUGGCAUUAGCAGCCGCCGCCGUGGCUCCUCUCUUCUUAACCACUUCCAAAUUUCCCAAACAUCCGCCCUCCAUAAAUCUCCACAUUUCCAUUUCUACCCCUCUCCUUUCUCCACAUUCUUUAAUCUAUCCUCUGCCUAUUUCAAAAGCUUCUAGUAAACUCCGUUUCCGGUUCUUCUCAGCAGUUCAAGAAAUCUUAAUCCAAGACGAAAAAGUCCAGCAUGAAAAGAUCUAUGUCGUUAAUCUUCCGUGGGAUCUCUUCGCACCCGAAAUCAAGAAUCUCUUCGCUGAAUGCGGGACUGUGAAAGAUGUCGAGGUUAUAAAGCAGAAGAAUGGUAAAAGCAGAGGGUUUGCCUUUGUCACGAUGGCUUCAGUGGAAGAAGCUCGUGCUGCCAUUGACAAGUUCGAUUCUUGUGAAAUGCAGGGAAGGACUAUAAGGGUUGAAUUUGCAAAGAGUCUGAAGAAACCUUCUCCUCCUCCUGAGGGUUCCACAGUUGGGGAAACACGCCAUAAGAUUUUUGUGUCGAAUCUUGCAUGGAAAGUGAGAUCCAGUGAUCUCAGAGAAUUCUUUUCUGCCAUCUAUAAUCCAGUGUCGGCCAGGGUGGUUUUUGAGAACCCGUCGGGGAGAUCCGCAGGGUAUGGGUUCGUUUCCUUCACCACAAAGGAGGAAGCCGAUGCUGCCAUUGCUGCAUUGGAUGGGAAGAAGGGAUGCUGUGGGGGGAGUUCUGCCAAAAUCCAAAGAAUGGAUGCUGAGCAGCAGCUAUUGAUUGGCUUGCAGUUGGGACUAUGAACAUAAGGUGAAUGAAACAAGAUGAGGAAUGCGUGAAUAAGGAUUUUACAUAGCUAUGACAAAACAGAUGCUGAGAAGCAGCUAUUGACUGGCUUGUAGUUGGGACUAUGAACGUAAAAUGAAUGAAACGAGAUGAGGAAUGCAUGAAUAAGGAUUUUACAGAUCUAUGACAAAACCAAAAACUAGCUUAGGAGCUGAUGGGCAGACCCAUUCGUCUGAAAAUAAGUCAAAGGAAGGUUGAAGAAUCUGAAAGUGAGCUGACGGCCGUAGAUGGUGCUGAUGAGCAAUUACAAGAGUCUUAGGUGAAAGAUUCCAG